CUCGCGGCCGCCGCGCGCGCGACCGCCCCCAGCGCCCCGCCCCUGCCUGUCCCCGCGCACGCUCCCCGCCGGCCCCCACGCAUACGCCCCCGGCGCUGCUGCGGCGGCUGGCUUGGGAGGGGGUCGAGGGAGCGGGAGCUUGGGGUGGGCUUCGGGAGCGCAGGGAACGGCGGGAGCCGGGAGGUGACGGCUAGCAGCGUGAGAAGGCCGCUGGCUCCUGAGAAAUCCCCCUCCUCCAGAAACUCUCAAACAACUGAGAAGGUGCCUCGACAUCUGAUUUGCCCCAAACCUCUAUACACUGGACAUCUUCUGAAUAAGGCUGUGUUGUAUGUUGGGACAAGCAAAGGGAUGGAAAUCAAGAAUUCUGGGUUUUAGUCCUGACUGUCACUACAUGGCUGUGUUACUUCUGACUCUGUGAAGCAGAACUCGGGCCUCUAGCGUCUGCUAGUCUAGAUCUAAAGGUGUUUCCUGAGGGACAGUUUGGCCUGGCAUGCAGGUACCUCUGCAGACCACAACAGUGCACCGAAAACACCCCCUCCCAGCACGCACACAAGUCUGGCUCCUCAGCCAAACAUCAAACACCAACACUGCUGCCCAUGCCAGAUGCCAAGUGAGAUAAUGUGUGUUAUACCCUUAGUGUGUUACAAAGAGAAAAGAUUAAUAAAUGUUAGCUAUCCUUAUCUUCAUUAUCUAAAUAAGGCAUGUGGAUCUCUUUUCAUUUAAACUCACAAAAUACCUGCUUAGAAGGCC
rnacentral:lncRNA from 10 species